UUCCGAUGGUGAACCAUGCGGAAGGAUCAUUA
rnacentral:rRNA from 1 species